UAAGUUGGGCAGGUUGUCGCGCUUGGACUUUGGUCUAAGGGAGGAAAGUCCGGACUUCACAGGAUAGGAUGCUGGUUAACGACCAGGCGGGGUAACCCGACGGCAAGUGCAACAGAAAGUAAACCGCCUACCCACCAUUAGGUGGCGGCAAGGUUGAAACGGUGAGGUAAGAGCUCACCAGCAGUACUGGCAACAGACUGGCUAGGUAAACCCCAUCCGAAGCAAGACCAAGCAAAGGGUGUCUAGUUUUACUAGAAAGCAUCGAUCCGGUGCCCCUUGGGUAGGUCGCUUGAGGCUGCUGGUAACAGUAUGUCCAGAUUAAUGACAACCAAGAGAAUAUCUCUUAACAGAAUCCGGCUUAUUGACUGAGCUUAGCGU
rnacentral:RNase_P_RNA from 1 species